UUGAUCUGAGAAGAUUUUCACUAUUUGAUAUGUCACAAGAAUGACAAGAUUCUAGCACUGUUGAACACAAACAUAAACCCUAGUGCUGAUUGGGCAGCAAACCCAAAUUCUUGUAUUGUAGCUGUUGUCAAACGCCACCGGUGUGAUGCUCUGCUCUGUCCAAUGUUGGUAACCGUCGGCUGCGUGCGUGUGUUCCCUCUGUGUGCUGCCCCGGCUCUGCGCAGAUCGCUGACACAGCAGACCCCAAGAGAACCCCCAAUGACCACAGACUCUGAUAAGGCACGAAGGCACCCGGCCAGGUUUAUUGUCAAACGAAACACAGUCUCUAGCUCCCCGGAUCAGAUGUCUACAGUUCUGCUAGUACAUAUAUGCUCCCUGACAAUGGACUGGCUCAGUCAGUGACGGGACACUCCACUGCCCCCUAUGCUGGACAAAGACACCGCCCCAGGGAUGCAUUCUUAUACACAGGUACAAACAAGUUACACAUCAUUCCUGACGUAUUGAGGUACAACCCCUCUACGCAGUAAGGUGCCGCCUCUCACCUUGUACAUGUUGGUUAGAACCAAACAACUCCAUCCAUCAUAGUACUCUUUUGCCCCUGUCUUUAGGAUGGGUUCGCCUGUUCUUUGUUAUCUGUGUGUAAUGUGCAAGUAUCAGAGUGUUCUGGUAUCAUCCUGGCAUAUGUUUGUAUCUUUAGUGUCCAGUACCUUUUAGGUAUAUGUAUUUUUGAAACAUCAGCCCUUUUGUUGCCAGCUUCUGUGAGCAGGGCCUGCUUCCGGCUCACAGCUUAACUUUACUUUAUGUUAGCAAAGUCUUGACCAUUACUUUAGUUCAGGCCUUAGGCCUCAUACCAGGCCUCUGAUAAGGGUUUAUGUUUCAGGGCCUCAUCUUACUACAGUAGCUUAGUGUCUAAUUUGUUAUCCCUUCUCUCCACUACAUUUCUUUGUGGAUUACAGUAGAUUUUGUAGAUGUAAAUUCUUCGGGGCUGUGUCUUCUUGGAUGUUUGAACCGUGUCAAGCAUUACAGGACUCUAAUAGUGACUGGAGCCUCUAGAUGCUACAUAGGGUUACCAUCCGUCUGUAUUUCCCCGGACACGUCCGGCUUUUGCGUCUCUAAAUAGCCGUCCGGGAGGAAUUGGUAACAAGGUUAAAAUGUCCGGGGUUUUUUUCUCCCUCGCCUCCCUCCCUCCCUUCCAUGCAGAGCGUGGCUGCUGAUUGGACGGCUAGGCCGAUUGACCCACUCCUAUUGGCCUCCAGCAGCCAGAGCCCUCCCCUGCUCCCCCCUCCCUCUGUCUGUAGUCCUGUGUAACACACAAACCGACCCACGUGGAGCCAGAAUGCGGCGGCUUGGCCUGAGAGCGAUGAGCCUGCUGCAGCACUGGCUUACAGAGAGAGGUCUUCUAGCUCAAGCAGUAGAGGCUUAUGCAAAGAACCGGAAGUGCCCAGGUUUGAGCCCUUCUGCUGACGGCCCAGCUGGGACCAGGUCAUUACACAGGCUAAGUAUAACAGACUCCCCACUCUGAAGUGACCAGAGCGCCCUUUGAUUCCUUGGGGGGUUAAAAUGACAGCGAGCACCCUUGGCUCAACGCAGAAGGAUACAGCUGAGUCUUAUGAGUCCAAAGCAGUCCAAGUUCAGACUUUGUCACUGCCAUGUGUGUCCUAGUGCAGGUCUUCUCAGCCCAAGAUCCAGGCAGAGUGCUCUCCUGCCUGGGAUUUCAAACUGACGUGCAGUUUGGGGGAAUUAAAGCGCAAUCACUAUUCUUAACAACCUGGCAUUAUAGAGACCAUGAAACUGUUCAAUGCAUUGAUAUUUGUCUUCACAUGAAAUUGUACAGCUCUAGCUGUUUAUACAGAUACAUUUAAUAAAUGGGCAAUUGCAGAUCUUUGCUACGUUAAAUUUCUCCAAUUUCUCUGAUUGGGGACAGGCAGGUGAUCUGGUGUUUUUCUGACCACAGCGAACUCUCUGUUAACCACAUUCUCCUGUAUUUCAGGCUGAAUAAACAUGUUGUUUUAGAUGCAUUCACAUUAA